AAAAAAAAAAAAGACAACUCUUGCUGUGAUUUUUGUUUCCACGGCUUGCUGUUUGAUGAAUGUUCCUAACAGUGGUACAUAAAGACUACUCCUUAUCCCUUAUCCAAAGAUUUUGAAAUAAAGUUUGCAUUAGACCUUACGUUCGAUUCUCAGCAAGAGAACAGAGGUGUCAGGCAUCUAAUUUUUCAAGGCACUAUUACAGCAUGGCUGCUAUUCAAAGUGCUUGCUUUCUAUUAUGGUUUUCUAUUUACAGUGGCUACUAACACACGCGCUGCUUAAAUGAUAACUGUAAAUGAGAGAACACUGCGUUCCCUGCAAACCUGAAGACUUCUCUGCCAUUGUUUUAUGGGCAAAUAUGUGUACAUGAUGCAAAGAAAGGAGAGGAAUGGGAGGCAAACGGAGCAGCUGUGCAGCGCCCCAACGCGUGACUGGGAUUUACCGUCUGGGCAGCGGUGCUGGGCUGCCAAGGGUUUCCGCCAGCGCUUCAUCUCCCACCUGCCUGCUGUGAGGUGCCCUCGCAGGACCUCCUCGCACUGUUCCACCCACAGGAUGAGGCGUAGAGGAGGCUUCUUAAAGAACAGCGUUUGAAAACACAUGCUUUCAGGCACUAACAUGUUUCUGGAUAACAAGUUUCUCUUAAAAGGAGUGUUGAAGUACGUGGAAACAUUUGAUUAGCUGAAGUUGUGCAAUGCUGCCUCUCUGCAAACAGUGAGAUACAAAACUUGGAGAAACUCUUCACUGCUGAAAAUGGUCGUGUCAUUUCCAGGGUGGAUGUACUGGAAAGAAAGAUUUGGUUUAAAUCAAGUCUAAAAUACAGCAACUGCCAACUCUCAGUUUUAAAUAGACUUUUUAAUUUUUUUUUCCUGUUCUGCUGACCUUUUCCAGUGUAAUUCCAUUCUGUUCAGUCUCUGGGUUUUUACAUUUACAUAAAAUCUUCCAACAGUAAAUUAAGUUACAUGGCUAAAA